UGCCAGCCGCCGCGGUAAGACGGAGGGUGCAAACGUUGUUCGGAAUCACUAGGCAUAAAGGGCAUGUAGGCGGCUCGUUAAGUCAGAUGUGAAAGCCCUCGGCUCAACCGGGAAACUGCAUUUGAUACUGGCGAGCUUGAGGAUGGUAAGGGUGAGUGGAACUCCAGGUGGAGCGGUGAAAUGCGUAGAUAUCUGAAGAAACACCUGUGGCGAAAGCGGCUCACUGGACCAUCACUGACGCUGAGAUGCGAAAGCCAGGGUAGCGAACGGGAUUAGAUA
rnacentral:rRNA from 1 species